rnacentral:rRNA from 1 species
GAUGAACGCUGGCGGCGUGCCUAAUACAUGCAAGUCGAGCGAACAGACGAGGAGCUUGCUCCUCUGACGUUAGCGGCGGACGGGUGAGUAACACGUGGAUAACCUACCUAUAAGGCUGGGAUAACUUCGGGAAACCGGAGCUAAUACCGGAUAAUAUAUUGAACCGCAUGGUUCAAUAGUGAAAUACGGUUUUGCUGUCACUUAUAGAUGGAUCCGCGCCGCAUUAGCUAGUUGGCAAGGUAACGGCUUACCAAGGCAACGAUGCGUAGCCGACCUGAGAGGGUGAUCGGCCACACUGGAACUGAGACACGGUCCAGACUCCUACGGGAGGCAGCAGUAGGGAAUCUUCCGCAAUGGGCGAAAGCCUGACGGAGCAACGCCGCGUGAGUGAUGAAGGUCUUCGGAUCGUAAAACUCUGUUAUUAGGGAAGAACAAAUGUGUAAGUAACUAUGCACGUCUUGACGGUACCUAAUCAGAAAGCCACGGCUAACUACGUG